rfam:Triticum aestivum genome assembly, contig: Triticum_aestivum_CS42_TGACv1_scaffold_113475_2AS
GUAAUACUCGCUCCGUCCGAAAAUUCUUGUCUUAGAUUUGUCUAAAUACGGAUGUAUCAAGUCACGUUUUAGUAUUAGAUACAUCCGUAUCUAGACAAAUCUAAGACAAGAAUUUUGGGACAAAGGGACUAUUAG